rnacentral:lncRNA from 1 species
CAGAUGCAAGGUAGAGAGUGGAAGGAAUGAAGGGGUGGGCGAGGGCAUGAAGAAGCCUCCCCAGCUCUAAUGGCCACUGUCUGAAAGUGAUGCAGCUCACUUCCACCCACAUUCGCCAGAUUUCAAUCCAUAGCCUCACUUAACUGUAGGGCAGGCUAGGACAUAUCAUCUUUCCAUGUGCUGAGAAAAAAUAGAAAAGACCAAGAUUGGUGAAAAGGAGCAAACUAGUGACGAGAACCUUGCCAUAGCCAUUUUUUUGCCACUCACAGAAGCCGGUCUGUACCAAGCGAGAAGUGGCUAUAGGAGAAGUGGUCCUGAGGCUCAUCUGCCUUCUCCUGGUCACCCUCCCAAUAUAUCCCUCCUGUGCUGAGCUAGUUUUCUAUUACUUUUCAUCACCUACAUCUAAAAGAGACCUACCUAUCUAACACAGUCUUUGUCUUACUAUCAUAAUGCUAUUAAUGCAAGCUAAAUAAUAAUCUUUCAUCUUCUUUUUUUCUUUAUCUUUUUCACUUGAAUUGCUUUAAAUUCAAAUCUUCCUGCUAUAGUGUGAAUGUUUGUGUUCCCCCCAAAUUUAUGUUUAAACUUUAACCUCCAAGCUGAUGGUAUUAGGAAGUGGGGCUUGGGGAGGUGAUUAGGUCAUGAGGGUGGAAUAUUUGAGAAUGAGAUUAGUGCCCUUGUGAAUUAGGCCUGAGAGAGAUCCCCUCAUCUCACCAUGUAAGGACACAGCAGAAGGUGCUAUCUUUGAACCAGGAAGUGAGCCCUUGCCAGACACUGAACCUGCCGAUACCUCAAUCUUGUCCUUCUCAGUCUCCAGAACUGUGAGAAAUAAAUUUCUGUUGUUUAUAAACC